rnacentral:rRNA from 1 species
UUGAAAGGGAAACGAUUGAAGUCAGUCAUGCCGGCGGGAAUCAACUUAGGGGAAACUCUGGGUGCAUUUCUUCGUUUGGCAGGUUAGCGUCGAUUUUGGAUGUUAUAAAAUAAUUGGGGGAAGGUAGCUCCUUCGGGAGUGUUAUAGCCCCUGGUAGAUGUGAUGUCUGGGAUCGAGGUUUGCAACGGAUACCCUUCGGGGCUAACCGCCUGAUCUCUAAUUGGUGUUAGGUUAUGGACAGCAUGCUGCCCGUGAUCUAAUUACUGGUUAAAAGGUUAGAGCGUGUAUAAAAUCGCUUAAGGAUGUUGACGUA